rnacentral:misc_RNA from 1 species
GGCGCUAGUAGUGCUGGUGCAGUAUUAUAAAAUAAUAAAUAAUAUAUAAAUUAAAAUCGUAUAUUAUGAUGCGCGUGCCGUGCGGCAUCACUAUUGUGUUUACUCUCAUUAUUAUUAUAUUGUCCGAUAAAAGUGUUAUUACACAUUAGACGUUCGUGAUAACGAUGUACAACGGAAUCGGUUUGGCAACAGCCCGUGGAUCGGGCACCAACGGUUACGUACAACGGAACUGGGCGGCCAUAAAAAAAGUCAAAGACCAGACGUCAUUCAAGACCGAUGAAGAGUUGGCCAAAAUCGAUUCUGCUGCCAAUCGUCAGCCCAACCAAGAGCUGUUGGAUCACGACCGUAAGCGAAAGGUUGAGUUGAAAUGCAUCGAACUCGAACAGUCUUUGGAAGACCAGGGUUUUUCUCAAGAUGAAAUUAUCAAAAAGAUAAAUAAUUUUAGAGUCACAUUAUUGGGCAAACAAAAGACUGCAACGGAAUAUGAUGAAUGCGGUAGACCUAUAUUAUUCUACCAAAGAAAUAAUUACAAAUACAGUGUAAGGGAUUCUCAUCAAUUUGCCGAUGAACAGUUAAAAAAGAAUGCAAGACUAAGAGAAGCUUUUGGUAUAUCAGAAUUUUUUAUUGAAGGCUCUAGCUUAGAUCCAGAAAGAAAAAUUAAAGAAGCAGCACUGGCCCAGUUAAAAUCGUUGCAGGUAGACCAAGCACUUGUGCAAACACAAAUGAAUGAAGACACCUCAACAAAUAAAGACAGCAGUAUAGCAAAUGAACUACAGUCUAAAAGUCCUAAGCACAAAAAACGAAAGAAGAAGAAAUCAAAAUCUCAUAAAAGUGACAAAGAAAAGGGAAGCGAUAAGAAAAAAUCAAAAAAACAUAAGAAGAAACAUAGCUCUUCAUCUGAAGAUAGUCCAAGAACUGACGAAGUAAAAGUCAACAAGAAUUUGUCUCAAGUUAAAUCGAAGUAUGAUGAUGAUAAAUCUAAUAAAAUAACUACUGAAACUAAAAAAAAAUAUGAGUCUGAGAAUAACCAUAAAAAACAUAAAAGGGAUAAUGAUAAAACAUUUAAGAAUGAUACAAAAGAAAUAGAAUACAAGUAUAAGAGUGAUCGUGAGGAUUACCGUAAGAGAGAUUCUAAAUCAGAAAACUCUAAAAACUUGAAAAAAGAUAAAAUAACCGAAGAACCUAACAAGCCAAAGUCUAAAGACUUUGUUUAUGAUUCUAAAAAACAAGACAAUUCGCCUAGACAUAGAACACCGAUAAAGGAACGUGAUAGGGAUAGAGAGAGAGAUUAUGAUAAAUAUUCAUAUAGGCAACAAACAAAUCGUGAUGAUAGUAAAUCAAAUAAAGAAAAAUAUGAUAAAAAAUCUGAUAAAGCAGACUCAAAAUACAAUUCAAGGAAACGGAAUUCAAGAAGUCCUAUUAAAGAACUAAGAAAGAAACCUUUUCAACCUGAGAAGUUAACCUGUAUUCCUGCUGAUAGUGAUAGUGACAAGUCAUGUUACACACCACCUCCCAAGGAUUUGAAUGCUAAAUUGAGUGAAUCAAAAAUUAAUGAAGAAAAAAAUCUAAAGAGUACUAAAUACACUUUUUCAUUGCGUGAGAAUAGUGAAGAUCGCUUAGUUGUAACCAAGUCUAAUGGACGUACCGAUGACUUGAUAUCAGGAUCACAAAACAGUGAAAAUCAACAUAAGAUAUCUGAAUCUCGAAAGACAAAUGAUCGAAUAGAUCAAGUAUUUUUAGAUUCUAGUACAAGUGAAGAAGGUGGGUUAGAAGAAGAUAUUGAUUUAAAUAUUAUUAAAGAAAUCACUACAGAGAAAAUAAAAAAAGUAUUUGAGUUGCACGAAAAACAAGAGCAAGCACUGCUUCAUCUUAAAAAAAAACUAAUGGAGAAAAAACGUAAAGUUAGGACUUCUUCCAGUUCAAGUGAUAGUUCGGAUGAAGAGCCUGUUAAAAAGAAAACCGUCAAACGGAGACGUGUUAAAGAUUCGUCAUCUAGUAACAGUGAUGUGAAUACUAGAAAGAAGUCCAAGCGCUCCCGCUCAAGUAGCAGUAGCAGCAGUGCGAGUGACACAAGUGUUGAGCAUCAUAAGUCAUUAAAACGAUCUAAAGAUAAAUAUUCAAAGAAAAAGUCACGCUCAUCUCGUCGUCGUACUAAAGAUAGUACAUCUCGAUCUCGGUCUCUGUCGAUGUCAGUUAGCUCAAAUGAUCGUUUACGUAAGAAACGAGUUUCCUCAAGUGAAGAAUCAAGUCCAAGGCGUAAGCAUAAAACAUCUAAACGCAAACGUUCAACUCGGAGACAGAGGAGCAGUGAUAGUAGUUGCAGCACUAGAUCAUCACCAUCUUACAAAAGCAUGAGACGCUAUAGUUCAAGCCGUUCACGUUCGACUAGUAGUUCAUCAAGCAGUCGUUACUCCCGCAGCUCUAGUUCUAGCCAGGACUCAAGCAGCUCUGGGUCUAGCCGUAGUUCAAAGUCUCGAUCUGCAUCUAUACCUAGGCGACGGGGGUCGCCUAGUUUUUUGGAUCGGAGACGAAUUACAAGGUAAAUUUUAAUGUUGUGUGUGUUCUAUAUCUCCUAUUUCAUUUUUAAUUAAAUAUAUCUUGAGUUAAACAAUUCCAUAAAAUGUUUGUUUAAACUAUAUAAAACAUAAUAUGUUUAAAUUUUUAUUUACUCAAAUUCUCAAACAAAAUAGUAAAAUUAUGUUCCUAUCUCAUUUUAAAUUAUGCUCGAAUCACGAUUUGGAUGAUGAGACUGGAACACAGUGCGAGAAAAAGACCCAUCCCAUACACAAGACUAACGCCGUUUUCCACCAAUUCUGAUACGGAUAGUGUCAUCAGCGUGCACGACUCACCAAUUGCUGAGAGCCACUAACUCGGAACUUUCUCUUUGUAAACUAACACAAUUUGUUAUAGUGCAAUAACCAUUAGGCUAAUGUUUAACGGUUAAGUUAACUAACUCUAGUCAAAUAUUUAUGGAAUGUGAAAUAAUCAAAUUUCAUAAUUUUAUUAUUAUUUUAAUCUUCCUAGCAAACAAGUGAUUUUAUAACUAACAUUCCACAUAGACUAUCUAUGAGACUAUACCUUACGAAAUCUAGUCAAAAGUCGUUCUUUUGCGUCUUGUAAAUGUUUUAAAAUUUUUGUGAUAUAUUAUUUUUGACGGGAUUAAUACAAUAUUUUUCAUGUUACCAAUAA